AUCCAGGUGACAAAUUCCAAAUAGGACGAAACGUGCGUCCUGGAU
rfam:Schistosoma rodhaini strain Burundi genome assembly, scaffold: SROB_scaffold0000019